rnacentral:miRNA from 14 species
CUCCUACAUGUUAGCAUUAGCA